rnacentral:rRNA from 1 species
AGUGAACGCUGGCGGUAGGCCUAACACAUGCAAGUCGAACGGCAGCACAGUAAGCGCUUGCUCUUACGGGUGGCGAGUGGCGGACGGGUGAGGCAUACAUCGGAAUCUACUUUUUCGUGGGGGAUAACGUAGGGAAACUUACGCUAAUACCGCAUACGACCUACGGGUGAAAGCAGGGGAUCUUCGGACCUUGCGCGAUUGAAUGAGCCGAUGUCGGAUUAGCUAGUUGGCGGGGUAAAGGCUCACCAAGGCGACGAUCCGUAGCUGGUCCGAGAGGAUGAUCAGCCACACUGGAACUGAGACACGGUCCAGACUCCUACGGGAGGCAGCAGUGGGGAAUAUUGGACAAUGGGCGCAAGCCUGAUCCAGCCAUACCGCGUGGGUGAAGAAGGCCUUCGGGUUGUAAAGCCCUUUUGUUGGGAAAGAAAAGCAGCAGGUUAAUACCCCGCUGUUCUGACGGUACCCAAAGAAUAAGCACCGGCUAACUUCGUG